rnacentral:tRNA from 1 species
GCGGAUAUGGCGGAACUGGCAGACGCGUUAGAUUCAGAUUCUAAUGAGUAAUUUCGUGCAGGUUCAAAUCCUGUUGUCCGCACCA